GAUGAACGCUGGCGGCGUGCCUAAUACAUGCAAGUCGAGCGAACGGACGAGAAGCUUGCUUCUCUGAUGUUAGCGGCGGACGGGUGAGUAACACGUGGAUAACCUACCUAUAAGACUGGGAUAACUUCGGGAAACCGGAGCUAAUACCGGAUAAUAUUUUGAACCGCAUGGUUCAAAAGUGAAAGACGGUCUUGCUGUCACUUAUAGAUGGAUCCGCGCUGCAUUAGCUAGUUGGUAAGGUAACGGCUUACCAAGGCAACGAUGCAUAGCCGAACUGAGAGGCUGAUCGGCCACACUGGAACUGAGACACGGUCCAGACUCCUGCGGGAGGCAGCAGUCGGGAAUCUUCCGCAGUGGGCGAAAGCCUGACGGAGCAACGCGGCGUGAGUGAUGAAGGUCUUCGGAUCGGAAAACUCUGUUAUUAGGGAAGAACAUAUGUGUAAGUAACUGUGCACAUCUUGACGGUACCUAAUCAGAAAGCCACGGCUAACUACGUG
rnacentral:rRNA from 1 species